GACGAACGCUGGCGGCGUGCUUAACACAUGCAAGUCGAACGGAAAGGCCCUGCUUUUGUGGGGUGCUCGAGUGGCGAACGGGUGAGUAACACGUGAGUAACCUGCCCUUGACUUUGGGAUAACUUCAUGAAACUGGGGCUAAUACCGGAUAGGAGCUCCUGCUGCAUGGUGGGGGUUGGAAAGUUUCGGCGGUUGGGGAUGGACUCGCGGCUUAGCAGCUUGUUGGUGGGGUAGUGGCUUACCAAGGCUUUGACGGGUAGCCGGCCUGAGAGGGUGACCGGCCACAUUGCGACUGAGAUACGGCCCAGACUCCUACGGGAGGCAGCAGUGGGGAAUAUUGCACAAUGGGCGGAAGCCUGAUGCAGCAACACCGCGUGCGGGAUGACGGCCUUCGGGUUGUAAACCGCAUUAGCCUGUGACGAAGCGUGAGUGACGGUAAUGGGUAAAGAAGCACCGGCUAACUACGUG
rnacentral:rRNA from 1 species